CCCCAUCUGUUGGCACAAGAAGAUGACUCUCUGAAAUGUGAAAUUUUUGCUCUAUUUUUGGCAUUUUAAUGUGAAGGUUAAUGCUGUGUUUACUAACAAUGUACUUAGUAGCAUGUAGGGGCUAGACCUAGGCUCACACAUUUGUAGUAGGUACGCAGCUUGAUCUUCAUGUGGGUCCCCUGACAACUGGACCAGGGAGAGGGGGUUGUCUCUGACUCUGUUGCCUGACAUUGAAUCCCCUUCCCUUAACUGGACUGCCUGGUUUGGCCUCAGUGUGAGCGGGUGCUCUUAGUCUUGCAGAACCUGGAUGUCUCUUGGUAGACUCGUACCCAAGGUGGCUUUCCCUUCUCGGAGAAGGAAAGUGGGUAAUGGGGGGGGUUGUAAAAAUGAGACUGGGAGGGGGUCUGUGAUCCGGAUGUAAAGUAAAUAAAAAAUUAAUUAGUGAUGAAAAAUGACUUUACAAUUAUAUAAAAGCCCUAUUGGCCAGAAAAGGAAAAUAUACUUAGCGAUAUGCACAACCAAAGACAGCAAUUCCCACAUUCUAGACACUGACUAUGUGCUUUCAAUUAUUUUUCAUAAAUAAAAUAAAAAGACAAGGGUAGCUGGUAUUAUUGCCCUGCCAGAUCACACAGGUCAAGUUGCUGUGAUGAAGUUGGGAUCCAAAUGUCAUAUUCUGUAAAGCCAAUGCUACUAGGCUACUAACUGUCUUUUCUAACCAGAGUUCCACAGAUCACCCCGUUCCAGCUGCCUCCCUCCUCCACUCAAUGUCCACGUGGACGUUUCAGACAAGCAGGGUUUGUGACAUCAAACCUUUGUCAAAGUCCACCCUGCCCUGAUGCACACGUGUCUUAGAGACAUAGCCCAGGAAGCUUGUGCAUACAUUCCCCUGAAAACGAUACCAUUCAACUGUGAGGCUAUCUACCCAUAGUCAACAUACCAAAAGAUCUCAGGGUUGUGCUUUGGAGUGUCCCGAGUCAAUGGAUACUCGGGGUGAAGAAGAACAUGAGAAAUGGCCACCGAGACUUGCGGCAGAUACGAAACAUUCUGUGAGUCUGGAAGACUUAAUAUCCCCCAGAGUAAAAUAGUUUUAUAUUGAUUCAUGGAAAUGAUAAGAUUUGCACAUAUUGAAUUUACAAUCUAGUAUUUAAAUUAAUAUCAACCGUUUCCUUCUUUCUUUUAAAGUGACAGGAUUUCUCGCCAGUCACGUGAUGCUGUUUCUGCAGGAAAUGCCCUCGCGGAAUAAAUUUUACUUGCAUUUUGCCUUUAUUCUUAUUAAUAUACGGAAAAGAAAGAAGCACCCUAUGAAGAUAGCUUUUUGGGUUUUAACAGCACAUCAAAUUGAGGAUUUCAUCUCACCCUACAGAGAGGCAGUCGGUUCCCUGCUGAGAGCCCCAAGACCCUGGCCAGACCUCUGCCAGCUACAAGCUCCAUCCACUCUUCUGUCCAAGCCCGUGUUCUGCAGGACAGUUUCACUGGGUCUGUGGUUUUGUUUGUUUUUGUUGUUUUGGGUUGUUUUUUGUUUUUUUUUUUUGCAUAAGUCUCUAUGAGCUCGCAUCCCCAGACUCUCAGUUUUUUGCCCCACCGUAGAAAGAAGGUCUUGCUUCCUUUUCUUUCCCCCACAACACGCUAAGAUUCCCUCCUCCCGUAGAAAAAUAGAUGAACUCCGAACCGAACUCUAACUACAACAGAAUGAGAGAAUGGCUUCUCCCGCCUGUUGGUAUUGGGUAGAA
rnacentral:sRNA from 1 species